rnacentral:rRNA from 1 species
ACUCAAUAGAUACCCGGGUAGUCCACGCCCUAAACGAUGUCUACUAGUUGUCGGGUCUUAAUUGACUUGGUAAACGCAGCUAAACGCGUGAAGUAGACCGCCUGGGGAGUACGGUCGCAAGAUUAAAACUCAAAGGAAUUGACGGGGACCCGCACAAGCGGUGGAUGAUGUGGAUUAAUUCGAUGCAACGCGAAAAACCUUACCUACCCUUGACAUGGAUGGAAUCCCUGAGAGAUCGGGGAGUGCUCGAAAGAGAACCAUUACACAGGUGCUGCAUGGCUGUCGUCAGCUCGUGUCGUGAGAUGUUGGGUUAAGUCCCGCAACGAGCGCAACCCUUGUCAUUAGUUGCUACGAAAGGGCACUCUAAUGAGACUGCCGGUGACAAACCGGAGGAAGGUGGGGAUGACGUCAAGUCCUCAUGGCCCUUAUGGGUAGGGCUUCACACGUCAUACAAUGGUACAUACAGAGGGCCGCCAACCCGCGAGGGGAGCUAAUCCCAGAAAGUGUAUCGUAGUCCGGAUUGUAGUCUGCAACUCGACU